rnacentral:rRNA from 1 species
UACGUAGGGUGCGAGCGUUGUCCGGAAUUAUUGGGCGUAAAGAGCUCGUAGGCGGUCUGUCGCGUCUGCCGUGAAAACCCGAGGCUUAACCUCGGGCUGGCGGUGGAUACGGGCAGACUAGAGGUAGGUAAGGGAGAAUGGAAUUCCCGGUGUAGCGGUGAAAUGCGCAGAUAUCGGGAGGAACACCGGUGGCGAAGGCGGUUCUCUGGGCCUUACCUGACGCUGAGGCGCGAAGGCGUGGGGAGCGAACGGG